GGGGUCCCAGGUUACAGAGGAGCUGAGCUAGAGAAGGUGGAGGUCAGCUACUACACAAAACCAUCUGUGCAUUCACAAUAUUGCCUUUAUUCCUGUUUAUACAAAGAGAAAUUCGGGAUUACAGUCCAGUUUGAGUCAAACUAAAGGCAAGUAGCAGGACAACGCUUGUACCUUCCUACUCUGGUUCCCCGAUAACCUCUUCUAUCAGCUAUUUGCAUUUCAGUGGCUUUCCAAGCCUCUGGUAAUUGUUGAGGGAGGACGUGGGUAAAAGGCUAUUAUGUUAGAGUUAGCAAGCCUGAAGGCAUGAGAGAGCAUCGCAGCAGCUGAUGCAACCCGUGACAGUAUAUUGUUUGCAGUGCUGUUCGAGCCUGGGGUGCACACCAGUGCCUGUGAGUUGAUUCAUAAUUACAAAGAAGUAUGAAUGUACCAUUUAAGUGACAGGAGGGCGGGCAGCAGCAGUGCUGUGCUUUGAAACUGGAGGGAAACAGGGCGGUUCAAACUGUGAAUUCGUCUGACUGAACUCCCCAAUAACCAAGGCUGCCAUCUGUGACCGGUGGUGCCCAGCCAGCGCGGGGCUGUGUGCAGCGGCACAAGUUGUGUCUUUAAGGGAAGCCAAGCCCAAGGCAGCUGGAAAGCCUGGGGACCCGCCAACGAGUGACUCAGCAUCUCCUGACCUGUGCCCGGGAGCCCAGGCUAUUCUUGGUUCCGGGUGUGUUUAAGGCAGGCAGCCCAGACUUAAACACUUCCAGUUGCUCUGCAGAGGAUGUGCCUGUGCUGAGGCUGGAGCUUUGCAUGCGUUAUGUUGUCCAGGGCUGUACUGCCGUCUUCUUGUUGGAUCGCUUUCCUCCAACAUCAAGGGGGCUAAGGCCUUUUCAUUUUCUUCUCUUGAGCUAGAUUCAAUUGUAAUCCUUAAAUAGCGGAAUAAAUGGCCAUUGGAGGAGCUUUCAGUGGGAAAAUAUACUUACUUCCCAUUACGUUUUAAGAGGUAUCAAUGCUCAAUUCUUCUUGCUGCCUUUGAAAAUCUCCUCCCUGGACUUAGCAUGCUUUUGUCUAUGAGAGCAAAAAUAUGCUUAAAGGGAAGGGGAAAUGCUGAUCAGGAAAGGUAAUGCUGGGUCACACAAAAAUCUGGUUUAGAAUCUUUUUCUUCCUGAAUAUUCAAAUCAUUUAGCAGGAUUAAAACAUGUAAUCCGUUAGAUCUCAGAGCCCCUCAAAGGCGCUAAUCUGUUACCCUUGAUAAGUGAUGGACACAUAAAAAGCAUCAAUUUAGCUGCUAGUGGAGUGCUCCUGUUUUAAAAGCAGAAUGAGCUGUCAUGUAGAAAUGCAUAGCCUUGCCACGCAGUUAUCUGUGAUGGAAAAUGAAAAUACUAUAGACCAUUUAAAAUGAGCAGUUUCAAAGGCUGAAUUACAUUUUCACCUGUGUCCAUCUCCUGCCUGAGGUAUUGUUGUUUUAUGGCCUUGUUUCCAAAUACAGUAAUCCUUUUUUAAGUAAAAAAUUUGCUAAUUUGGAGUCUUUUAAAUUCCCUUACAAAGCUGGAAUGUGCCUGAUCAGAUCUUCUAAAUGCCUUGUUUUCUAAAGUCCUGAUUAAAGUUGUGAUCCAAGUAGUUCCUUAAAAAAGGCAAGUCAAACAGUAGUAUGAGAUGGCAACACUACAAACAGCCCUUAUCCUGUGCAACCCCAGCGGCCCUGUGGUUAAGUAUCAGGGGUAUUCCCAGUCUCUUCCAUCGCCCGGGAGAAGGAAGGAGCAGCUUUCCCUGGGCAAUGGGCUGUCAGGCCGCCGGGCUGUUGGCUCUGGUCCUGCGCCAGAGCUGAGAUCCAACGGAUUUUCCUCCUGCAGUGCCAGCAGCUGAGCUGAGGGAAGGGGCAGGGGCUCGGUUCCCUUCAACUCGUGGUGUUCUGUGGCUGGCUGCAGUGGCUUGCCCUGUGGAAGUCACGGCUGAGUAGAGCUCCCUGUAAACAGACUUACUCUGCUUCUCACUGCCUGCCAAGUGCUGAGUACUGCUCAUCAUAACCAUUUUCUCAGAGAGCCUCCAGUCUGGUUCCUCAAAAGACCGAUGCAUUGGGGGGUGUUUAUACAAGCUGAUUUUAAGUAUGUAAUUUCUCUGCCUACAUUAGAUGUCUAGACUUCUGCUGUAAUCAAAAGUGAGGGGCAGGAUCCUAAUUACAGCGCUCUCAGUUACACCCUAAAAGAUCCCUUGCCUGUAUGGAGAGCAUGGGUACGUUACGUAGGUGCUUAAAAUGGGCCUGAAUGUUCCCUGCUGUGUGGUGGGUCUGCCACUGCUACUGCAAACAGGCACAGAACCUCUUUGCCUUGUAUAAAUCAAAUGCUUCAGUUGCACUCUUAAAGGAGAAAUGUUUGUAGCACUUGAAUGGAAAUUAACUGGAGAGUGCAUUUAUUUUUGGCCAGUCCCCUGGGAGCACCUGCCAAACAUUACCUCUCAUUUCAAGCCUGGCUGUUCCUGCUGAGAAAGUCUGAUGGAGCUUCGAGUCUGGGUCAAGGUGAGCUCCUGGCUCUUCAUCAGCUGUCUGUGCCAUUUAAAAGGGAAGGAGGAAUGAAAGCUAAGCAGCGGAUUGGGUAUGAGGAAUGGUGUGCUCCUGCUAGACAGCUCAGCAAUGAGAAGAAACAGGACUGCUUGGGUAUGGUUUAUGUACCGAUUAAAUGCACCUGCUGGUCCCCAAGCAUCAAUGCACAGUUUUAGAAUGAAAAUGUUGAAUAAUAAAUUAAACUGAGAAAAUUAAUUCCGGCCUCGUCUACUCUGGGACGAUAGCCAAUUGCUUAAAACAAGGCUUACCUGCACCUGUCUGAAACCAAAGUACCUGGCACAAGCCAUGGUGCCUAUGUAAAAGCUCUUUGAGAGUCAUUAAUGCUGUCAUGUGUAUGUGCUCAAGUGUCGGCGAUGGGGACUUCGGUAGUGGGUGGACCAAUCUCUCCACUUCCAUGGAAGCACAACUUGAAUGUGCACAGGGAUGUGUCUUGCAGGGUGCCUCUUCCCACUUCCCAGCACCAUGUCACCAGUACCGUGCUAUUCCAGGGCGGGGCAUGGCAGCACUCAUGGGCAGAGAUGCUGAGGAGUUUAUUUACUCAUAAUAACCAUGAUCUCAAAGGGAAGGAUACUGGGACAUUGGGGUCAAUCCACAUUUCUCUCAAAUGCAUUAGAAACUGAUGUUUGCUCUCUAAAUUCCUGAAAAGCAGCAAAACCCGGUGUUUUCGUAUUCUUUUUAUUACUAUUAUUUUAUUUUCCACCAGGGACAGAAAUUGCUGGCUGAGAAUCUGAGGCCUGAACCCAAAGAAAACAUGUCUCAAAAGCAGCAUAACUGCUCUGGCCAAGGUUUUCCUUUCUUCCUCUCUGCCUUACUCCAGAAGUCUGCAGAAUCCAAAAGGCAGCUAUAGAGUGUAAGGUUCAAAAGCUCUGCUCAUGCCUCUGGUACUUUCUCUAUGACUCUGCUGUAAAUGUGAGAGUAAAACCCCAAGUGUCAGAGAUGGACAAGUUCUUCUCAGACCAGUGCACAGUUGUUCCGUUUUUGGGAGCACUCAGGGUCCCUGCAGGCUGGUAAUCUCUACUACAUGAGCUGCAUUGAUAGGAAUUUGAUGUUUUUAACUUAAUAUUAUGGGGGUAAUUUUCUUUUACCAACCCCUGAGGAUGUAUAUUAAGUGCUAUUACGUAUGACUUAAAUACAGGAAAAAUCUA